AGAACUUCUGACCAGCAGCAGCAGCAGAGCCUCAGAGGGGUGCAGAUCUUAGGGAGAGUUCGAACCAUAGGAGUCAUAUCAUCAGGCGGACUCACAUCCAUUGCUACAAAUACCAAGCAGGCCUCCAUUGAAGGCAACAUUCACACCGGUGCCCCGCCCCCAUGGCUAACAGCAGACUCUGAUGAAACAGGGACGUCAAGUGUGAUUGGACCGGUAGAAGAUGACUUCAUCAAACAUCUGAAGAGGGAGAAAAAGAAAAAGCUGAAUCCAAACCGAGUCGGAGCCAAUUUUGAUCAUGUGACUCCAACCAACGAAGAAUGGCUGCCUUCAUUCGGCAGGGUGUGGAACUCGGGUAGGAGGUGGCAGUCAAGACACCAGUACAGGAAAGAGAAGAAAGAGGACGGAAGACAGAAGAGGAAAGCACCUCAUACGGAAAGCAAGCCACCUUGAGACUCCGGCAUUACACUAUUUCACGUCACUUUGAAAGCUAAUUGGAGACAGCAGGGACAGUCAUUUUCUUCUGUUUACCAGCAAAUGGAACAUCUGUCUUACAAAGAGUUGCGAUUGAUCUGAUCAUUGCAACUAUGGAAAGCCAGCAAAGUUAACAUUCUUGACAAUUUUGCGUGUUCUUUGUUCACAAAGGACAUUUUGCAAAUUUUCUGUAGAAAAAAUUAUGACACUGAUGGAUUUCCAUAGAGUUACGAUUGAUUGGAUCAAUCGUAACUCUUUGUAAGACGGGGCCCUGGGCCACAUCUUACAAAGAGUUACGAUUGAUCCAAGCAAUCGUAACUCUAUGGAAAUCUAUCAGUGUCAUAAUUCUUUCUUAAUUCUACAGGAAAUUUGCAAAAUUUCCUUUGUGAACAGAGGCGAACACACCAGAUUGUCCAGAAAACAAUGAACUUAUGAAUAUACUUCAUAUCUAGAAAACAUUUAGAACUAACAUGCAUUUUAGAUGUUGACAUUGCUGGCUUUCCAUAGUUGAGAUUAUUCAGAUCGAUCGCAACUCUUUUGUGAGACGGGGCCCUGUUUUGGUUCUUUAAUUUUCAUGUGAAAAUUCAUGAAGUUACCUUUAAAAAACAGAAUUCGUGUUUUUGCUGUGCACAUUUUCUAUGACAAAAUGGAAUUUUAGAUCAAGUUUGAAACAGUAUUGCAGGUAUUCAGAAAAAGGAACAGACCAUGUUUUAAAACAGAAAAUCACUAUCCCUUUGUCCAGUUCAAAUCACCAAAAAGUUGAAAUUAAAAUUCUAAAAAUUCAUAGCCUUGUUGGUCUGACAGAUUUUCAUCAAACCCUCACCAAUAUUUCUCUUAAAUUUUUCUGCUUUUAUUAAAAUCAAUCUAUUGUAAAAGUGCACUUCCACUAAAAUGAAAAUAUAUAUUUUUUUACAUCAUAUUUUAUAGUAUAAGCCAGUUCAGGGUUAGCUCAUGAUCAACUUUUCUCAAAUGACCUUUGUGAUUUUUCAUUAGGAUAAGCACUAUCAUUUUCAAAUGUAGAUGUUGCGUAAGCUUUUACGGUAGAGUAUUCAAAUUCUAAGAACAAAAGGCAUUGUAUAGACCAGGUGACUAGAAUAGUACAUUAGUAUAAAGUUUGGAAAUCUGUUUUAUUGUCAGCCUUUGGCACAUUUGACUAUUGUUUAGGCUACUGUCAAAUACCAGUGAUUAUGAAGGCUCUAUUUAUUACUCUUCAGCUUGAAUGUGAUAAAAUGAAUAUUUUGAAAGGAAUACAUGAAUAAUCAUCAAAUCACCAAUGCCUAUGUCAGUGAAUUUGAAAGCCACCUUCAUGGUUUAUCUCAAAUGACCUUUUUCUGCUCGUGCGCAGUUUACAACCGUGAACAGGCUUGACCUUCACACUGUCACAAUGAAAUACAAUAGACAUCCAAUGAAAUAGCUUCAUGUACAUGCUAAUAAAAGAGACUUACACUUUGAUUAUUUUUAAA